rnacentral:lncRNA from 1 species
GCCUCUGUACCCAACAGGCGGAGGGCUCAGUCUGUGAAUAUCCUGUAAGUGUCGGGAAUGCACACCUGGUACCUCUCCGCUGGUAUCCACAGCUUAACGAAGUAAAUAGAAGAUGUCAAGGAGGAAUACGACAUCAACACAGGAUGACCUUCUUGCGUGAGGAGCCACCCUACAGAGGGAGGGAAUGAAGGGAACCCACACCUGUGACUGUGAGAGACAGGAGACCU